rnacentral:rRNA from 1 species
GUCAAGAAAAGUCUCUAUCGAGGUUAAAGGUACCCGUACCGCAAACCGACACAGGUGGGUGAGGAGAGUAUCCGAAGGCCAGCGAGAGAACUGUUGUUAAGGAACUCGGCAAAAUGACCCCGUAACUGAGGGAUAAGGGGUGCCACCAUCAGGUGGCCGCAGAGAAUAGGCCCAAGCGACUGUUUACCAAAAACAUAGGUU